rnacentral:rRNA from 1 species
GACUUGAUGGAGUGCUUGCACUCUGAUGGUUAGCGGCGGACGGGUGAGUAACACGUAGGUAACCUGCCCAUAAGACUGGGAUAACCCACGGAAACGUGAGCUAAUACCAGAUAGGCAUUUUCCUCGCAUGAGGGGAAUGAGAAAGGCGGAGCAAUCUGUCACUUAUGGAUGGACCUGCGGCGCAUUAGCUAGUUGGUGAGGUAACGGCUCACCAAGGCGACGAUGCGUAGCCGACCUGAGAGGGUGAUCGGCCACACUGGGACUGAGACACGGCCCAG